AAAAAAAAAAAGCAUUUAUAAUCCCAUUCGGACAAAAUCUAAUAAAAGACACCUGAAGGAUACAGGCAAAGAAACAGCUCUAAGAAGCCUGCAUUUGACAGGAAGAGACGUUUAACAAUAGCUUUGAUACACAUAGAAUUAUUGUUGUUGGCUAUCGAAUCAGUGGCAGAUGGAAACCCAAGAGUGGAAAGGUGACUGGGACAAUGGGUUUGGGACUAUUAGCUGGGGGGGGGAAGCAGCGCUCUUUAUGUUUUAAUGUUUUCACAAUUUAUCAGGUUGAGUAGAUCUGAAGUGGGCGACUGGAUUCUGCUUUUUUAACCAGCUCUCAAGUGAUGUCCCUGCAGGUGUAUUUUGGACCACGAGGAGCAAGGCUGUGGAGCGCUGCAAGAGGAUGGGUUGCUGGGGAGGAAAACACGGGUGAAAACAGGGAACUCGUGGAGCAGAGACUCCAUCUCUGGGAAUUUUGCCUUUCCCUGUAGUCUCUUGUGCGCUUCAAGCGCUCAUGUCUUUCUGUUUUACUUAGAUUCUUCAGGCUGCAAGAAAUAAAGGGUCACUCGACCUCGUUCAAGGGCUGAGGUUGGUGGUGAAGAAACGGCAAAGCAGUGAGGGUGAUGGAGACUUCUGGAACACAGGCCUCCCCAGUGCCGCCUCUGACCCAUAGCCCAUGUCGGCUUCCUUUCAGCAUCUCUCCAGCUGAGGGCAGGGCCCCUCUCGUUCUUCCUCCAGGCUCCCAGGAGCGAGGACAGGACUGGCUUCACUCGUGUCAGGUGGAACUGGCCACUUGGCUUCUCUUCCCUUGGGUCAGGUGGAGCCCAGGGAGAGGAUGGACAUGGAGAUGGCCAGGAGGUCUGACCUGGCUGCCAGGGGGCAGGUGCAUGUCAUGUUCCUGGAAGGCCGUCUCACGUGUGAGCUCUACAACCCUACACUAAAUGCACCAUCUCCUUGCACAUAUGCCAGAAAUGCUGCCAGGUGCUUCAUGUGGAGCCCGGAGCUCCUGACUUCAGCCCUCAGGGCACCCAGCUCAGUGUGGAAACACAGCAGAGUUAAAUGGAGACAUUGAAAAAGCAACGGCUUCUGCAAGUGUCCUUAGAAAACCCCAGUGUCAGGAGCCAGGUCCGUCAGUCCGUGCAAAUAAAGCAAUGGGACGCCGGCCAGCCUGAGAGCGGGCUUUUGCUGUUCAGGAAGCCAGUACUGCCUCUAAAUGGAGAUCUGCUGCAAUGGGCACUGGAAGAAGAGAGUGAACACUUCGGGCCAUGGAGGUGAAGGCAGAUCGAGGCCUGAGCAUUGCAAAGACCACGAAGGGCACAAAUGAGAAUGAAACUCAAAGCAUAGGAGCCUGG